UUAAGUGUUAUGAAAAAGACUUUGAAUUUAAAUAAAGCUUACAAAGAAAUCAUAAAACUAAUUUUAAAAUGCUUUUAUGUAGGCAAAAGGGAAACUAUAGUACUCUCACUACUUAAUAUUUCCAGUUCUGCCUAAAACAAAGACAUACAUUAAUUUUUAACAAUCUUUGUCUCAAAAUUCUAGGAACAUUUGGAAGAAGUAUUUAAAGCUAAUGCUUACUCUUUGCGUGAAAUUUUAUAUAAUCUCAGGAAUAGAAAUUUAAGAAAUAGAAAUCUUCUCAUUUCAGUUUGCUAAGCACAUUCUUCAUUCUUACAUAUUACAGGUCCACUAGAUUCAAAGGUAAGCCAAAAAUACCAUGCAAAAGACUGCCUCCUAAAUUAUUUAAAUCUCUUUUGUAGCAAAAUUUUCCCAGAAACUGAGGAACAUCCACACAGAAAUUCUUACCUUUUUAUCAAAAGUUUGUUAUCCUUUUCUCAUUUUCUGGGCCUUUCAAUGCAUUGGCAUUGACAAGAGUGAAAAAAUUAUUUGCUGUUAUUUGCAUAUCAAACACAUGGUUUCAACGUGGUAUGAAACUAUGUUGGUUCCAACGUGGCUGACUCCUUUGUGUCCAUUAAAACCAUUUUCCUCAUAUCUAAAGUGAAUCUUGGUAUCUGUGAUUUAUGUUUAAUAUAGAGAUGGGAAAUGGUUAGUAAUCUAAUACUAGUCAAGUCACAUGUAUUCUUAAAAAAAGCUCAAAUAGUUGAAUUAGGGUGAUGGAAAUUAUACUCAAAUCUGAAAUUGUAAUGAGGCUCCUUUCUGAAACUUAAAUGACCCAUUCAUUUUUUUUAGGUUUAGCUUAAUGUUUUUCCUCUUCAUAAUACCAACUGAGGUUUAACUUAAUAACAAAUGGUAACUAUAUAAGAUUGUAUUAAAUAGUCUUGGGCUAUUUUUUGGUAAGCUCUUUGAUUUGGUAACUACAUUCCAAAAGUUAAUUAUCAGUUACAUGAGUUUAAAUGGCAUCCAUAGCUGCCCCUUCACACAAACAGGUGCUCAGUAAUAGGGCUUAUUAGAAAGACCCUAGAAACCAAGAAACUUCAGUUCUAGUCCUCAAUAUAGAAGUAGCUAACAAUUUUGGAUAAGUCAUUUAACUUCUAGUCUUUGGUUUCCAUAUUUAUAAAAUGGAGACAAUAUCCUAUCUACUUUAAUAAGGUAUUAUUAAAAUGUUUAUAAUUGGAUAAUAUAUUGAAGCAUUCUGAAAUAAUACCAGUUCGUCUUUGUUUAGCAAUCUCAAUUUUUCAAAUUCUUAACCCUGGGAUUGAAGUUAUUAAAGGCACUUGUUUCUCCUUAUUUAAAAGAUUUAUGAAAGGCUCCUACCAUGGCAUGCCUUGGCUCCUACGGUUUUACUUUCCCUCCACAGGAAACCUAUAUUGACAAUUUUAGAUUGUCAAAAUUCUUUCUUAAUGAAAGUAUUAAUGAGAAUUAUUUCAUUAUUCAUAGUUUGGUUAAGAUUUAUGACAAAUCACAGCCAAAAGAACUUCAUUGGUAAUAGCUUGUUUGAGAAUUAUUUCAUUAUUCAUAGUUU
rnacentral:lncRNA from 1 species